UACGGAGGGUGCAAGCGUUAUCCGGAUUCACUGGGCUUAAAGGGUGCGUAGGCGGGCAGGCAAGUCCGUGGUGAAAUCUCUGAGCUUAACUCAGAAACUGCCAUGGAUACUAUUUGUCUUGAAUGUUGUGGAGGUAAGCGGAAUAUGUCAUGUAGCGGUGAAAUGCUUAGAUAUCGAGAGGAACACCUGCGGCGAAGGCGGGUUGCUGGGCUGACACUGACGCUGAGGCGCGAAAGCCAGGGGAGCGAACGGG
rnacentral:rRNA from 1 species